CCUACGGGUGGCAGCAGUGAGGAAUAUUGGUCAAUGGGCGCGAGCCUGAACCAGCCAAGUCGCGUGAAGGAUGACGGCUCUAUGGAUCGUAAACCUCUUUUAUAAAGGAAUAAAGUGAGGCACGUGUGCUUUUUUGUAUGUACCUUAUGAAUAAGGAUCGGCUAACUCCGUGCCAGCAGCCGCGGUAAUACGGAGGAUCCGAGCGUUAUCCGGAUUUAUUGGGUUUAAAGGGUGCGUAGACGGGUUGUUAAGUCAGCUGUGAAAGUCUGCGGCUCAACCGUCGAAUUGCAGUUGAAACUGGCAGUCUUGAGUAUGUUUGAGGUAGGCGGAAUGCGUGGUGUAGCGGUGAAAUGCUUAGAUAUCACGAAGAACCCCGAUUGCGAAGGCAGCUUACCAAGC
rnacentral:rRNA from 1 species